rnacentral:ncRNA from 1 species
GUCUAAGUAUAAACAAUUUUGUACUGUGAAACUGCGAAUGGCUCAUUAUAUCAGUUAUAGUCUACUCGAUAGUACCUUACUACUUGGAUAACCGUAGUAAUUCUAGAGCUAAUACAUGCAUAAAUACCCAACUGUGUAUACCGGCGGGUAGCAUUUAUUAGAUUGAAACCAGUGCAGUCUUCGGGCUGGUGUUGUGUUGAAUCAUAAUAACUGUGCGGAUCGUGCUUUGCGCUGGAUCUGGAAUCUGAUAGCAACACACAAAG